CAAUGCUACAGUGUAAUAACUACCUUAGACGAUGUUUCUGUUUAUCAUUAUUCCAUGUUGUUGUUUGAGACCACUAAUAGAGAAAAUUAAAGCGAAAUGGAGUAAAUAUCAAAAACUCAAAGAAGAAGAAACAGUGAAGUCAAACUACGACACGUUUCCAGACAACAGCUGUCCACAACAACAUGAUACGCACACAGAAUACCCAAACACAGAAGAACAAAAUAAACAACCUUAAUUUCCGAACAAAGAGAAGACGCUUAUAUGUAUUUACACGUAUUUCCCAUAUAUUGACUUGAUGUAGUAUCCAUAGGGCAUAAUUCCUAUCAACCAGUUUGAUGAUGUGUGUGUGUUGUUGCUAAUUAUUCUUGAUAUACCAAUGGAAUGAGAAAUUUACAUUGCUGAUGAUUCUUUGAAUGUUUAAUGCACAGAGCAAAACUGAACACAGCUUGCAUUCAUUUAUGUUAUAAAAUGUCAUUGUAUUUAAAAUUGCUGUCUUUUGUAUUUAUUAUCAUUUAUUAAAUUAAUCGUCACAAACUAUAAUCAAAGGAGCACAAUAUUACGUACAAUUGCAUUGAUAAUGGUAGAUUUAUAAGAUAUUAAACAC